AGGGAACGAGGAGAGGGACAGGGACUGGGAAUACAGACUGGGGACAAGGAACAGGGACGGGGGACAGGAAAUAGAGACAGGGGAUCAGCCCUGGGAAUAGGGACUGGGGACAGGGAUAGGGAGAAGAACUGCGACUGGGAAUAGGGAACAGGGAGAGGGAAUAGGGACUGGAGCCAGGCACAGGGAGGGGGACAGGGGGUGGGAAUAGGGACUGGGAACGGGGAACAGGGACAGGUAUUGGGAUUUGGGAUAGGGACUGGGAAUAGGGACUGGGGACACGGACAGGGACAGGGUGAGGGUGGUGGUGGCUUGUCCAGGGUCCCCACCCAGGCCUCUCCCCUCAGCGGCGUGCCCCUGGGUCUGCAGCCUAAAAGUAUAGUUGGUGUUUAUUAUUCAGGAAAUCGGUUUAAGCAACACCAACAAACACUAUUCUGCCCCACAGUCACAGACUCACUGAGGUGGGAAAACACCUCUGAGACCAUCACGUCCAGUAUUUGACCAAUCACCACCUUGUCGACCAGCCCAGAGCACUGAGGGCCACGUCCAGUCGUUCCUUGAUGUGAUGGGGAAGGAAGCACCUGAGAUUUUUCUUAUAGCCUUGAUCUCCAAGGAUUUCCCAACAUGACUCAGCUCAAUCUUCAAAGAGGUGAAGAGGGUUUGGCAGCAGUUUGCAGUCAGAGGAACAGCUCUGUUGCAGUGCAGAACCAGCAGAGACCAGGAGUCCUGAACGUCAAUCCCUGGGCUGCACAUUUUGGACAAGUGCAGUAUUAAGGAACCAGUGAGGCAGCAGCAGCAGACACAAGUGAAUGGAAGACACAUCUUCCUAGAGAGUGUGUGCUGUGUUAGUACAGGAGGAGGAGCAGCUGUCCCUCUGCAGUCUGCCUGAAAUUUAAUCCUGUAGGGUUUCUGAAAAAGAGAAGUUUGAAGCUUUUCUUUGAACAGUAACAUCCAGGGACAAGCAGUGAGUGUGAACACAGUGAGGUUGCUGAAGUCCAGGAAGAAGCUGAGUGAGACUGGAGUUGUUUGGUUGCGAAGAGCACAGUGAAAUAAUUCACACAACACAACUUGGAGAGAAGAAGUAUUUUCUUUUUGCCAGAGGAAAAUAAACGGGUGGAGAAAGAGUCCCAGAUCCCAGCUCUGGCUGAGUUACCCUCACUAUGUCCCCAGUCCAUGUCAGGAUAGGACCCAAUUACAUACCUUUUACUGCCACUUGCCACAAAUUGCACAGCUUUGGAGGAGGCCACUGCACACUCCAGCAAGUCCCUUGAUAAUCAGAGGGACAGGACUGUGAUCAAACUGAGGAAGGUGAAGGCCAGGGAAGCAGAAGUUGCACACACCUUUGAGGAGGGACUCGGUGCCUCAGGACAGGGAGCCUUGGCCUCAUUCAAAAG